GACGAACGCCGGCGGCGUGCCUAAUACAUGCAAGUAGAACGCUGAAGAGAGGAGCUUGCUCUUCUUGGAUGAGUUGCGAACGGGUGAGUAACGCGUAGGUAACCUGCCUGGUAGCGGGGGAUAACUAUUGGAAACGAUAGCUAAUACCGCAUGAUAUUAAUUAUCGCAUGAUAAUUAAUUGAAAGAUGCAAUUGCAUCACUACCAGAUGGACCUGCGUUGUAUUAGCUAGUUGGUGAGGUAACGGCUCACCAAGGCGACGAUACAUAGCCGACCUGAGAGGGUGAUCGGCCACACUGGGACUGAGACACGGCCCAGACUCCUACGGGAGGCAGCAGUAGGGAAUCUUCGGCAAUGGGGGGAACCCUGACCGAGCAACGCCGCGUGAGUGAGGAAGGUUUUCGGAUCGUAAAGCUCUGUUGUAAGAGAAGAAACGGGUGUGAGAGUGGAAAGUUUCAACAACUGUG
rnacentral:rRNA from 1 species